rnacentral:rRNA from 1 species
CCUACGGGAGGCAGCAGUGGGGAAUAUUGCGCAAUGGGCGAAAGCCUGACGCAGCGACGCCGCGUGAGGGAUGAAGGUCUUCGGAUCGUAAACCUCUGUCAGCAGGGAAGAACGGUCACUGUGCUAAUCAGCAGUGAAUUGACGGUACCUGCAAAGGAAGCACCGGCUAACUCCGUGCCAGCAGCCGCUGUAAUACGUAGGGUGCGAGCGUUCAUCGGAAUUACUGGGCGUAAAGCGCUCGUAGGCGGUAUGUCAAGUCAAGGGUGAAAUCCCCGCGCUCAACGUGGGAACUGCCUUUGAAACUGGCAAACUGGAGUGUGUGAGAGGAUAGUGGAAUUCCAGGUGUAGGAGUGAAAGCCGUAGAUAUCUGGAGGAACAUCAGUGGCGAAGGCGACUAUCUGGCACAUAACUGACGCUGAGGAGCGAAAGCGUGGGUAGCAAACAGGAUUAGAUACCCUUGUAGUC